GACGAACGCUGGCGGCGUGCUUAACACAUGCAAGUCGAGCGGUAAGGCUCCUUCGGGAGUACACGAGCGGCGAACGGGUGAGUAACACGUGAGCAAUCUGCCCAUCACAUCGGGAUAACUUCGGGAAACCGAAGCUAAUACCGAAUACAACCACUUCAGGCAUCUGACGGUGGUGGAAAUGUUCCGGCGGUGAUGGAUGAGCUCGCGGCCUAUCAGCUUGUUGGUGGGGUAAUGGCCUACCAAGGCUUCGACGGGUAGCCGGCCUGAGAGGGUGACCGGCCACACUGGGACUGAGACACGGCCCAGACUCCUACGGGAGGCAG
rnacentral:rRNA from 1 species